AAUGCUACACUCAAAAGGGGUACAAGCUGCAUUUUGCUCGCCUUCUCAAAACUGUUUUAUUUUCGUUUAAUUAUCAAAUUCCAAUUCUGCCUUCAGAUAAGACACACUCUAACCACCUACUUCACAGCCAGGCAGCUUUAUCUGCAGAUUGCACCGUUACUGUCCAAAAUCCUCCAGAGCAAAGAGAGAUGCUUCAGCCCUUUGAUCAUCCUUGAUGCCCUCCUCUGGAUCCGCUCCAAAAGCUCCACCUCCCUCUUGUACUGACAUCACCAAGCCUGGAUGCAGCACUCCAGAUGAAACCUCACAAUGUCAGAGUAGAGGGGGACAAUCACCUCCCUCUCCUUGCCGGCCUCUCACAACUUCUGAUAAGUAGUUGUAUUUAUAUUUGCAUGUGCUACAUCUGAGAAGUCUUAAACUGUGAAUAAUAAAUUUAGAUUGAAUGUUUCAUACAUAAAUAACCGUUUAACUUUUUCAUUUGAGCUGUAGGUUAGAUGUAGCAACAAAUCUGUCUAAUAGCACUGUAACUUCAUUUGUAAGAUUAGAGACCUGUUUAAUAUUUCUGGCAAUUCAUACUUUGAGAAUAAAAAUGUGCGUAUUUUUUACUUUUCCUAUUAUAAAAAUGCUAUGUUCUUUCUUUAAGUAUAUAUAAACAAAUUGAUAUGCUAUAGAUUUGUAAAAUUAUAUUAUUUAUAAUGUUAGAAAUUCAUUUUUCUCUUACAAAUGCAUGAAUCAAUUCUAAUUUGUAAUUCACAUUCAGUGGAACAUUUACAAGUGGGAUAGAAAAAAAGGAAGUUAACUGCAUAAAAAUGUGCUGCUAGCAACCCAUCAUAUUCAAAACUUUUAAAAUGGUAAUAAUUUCUCAUAAAGUAGUUAGGCUUAGCAUCUGUUCAGUUAAUUGACAGUAAUCAUUCUCACAGAACAGGCCAUGAUAUCCUCUAAUUCACAGAUCACCUUUACAGUGAAGUAGCCAAACAGCAAUGUAUGACCUAUUUUAGAAGUCUUCUUUCCUCGUAGGACAGAACAAGCAUUGCGUAAGCACAAUAGCAGUAACCUACUUAGAGGCAUUUUCUACUCUUUAGAAUCUUCUGCAUUUCAGCAGAAAUACCAAGAGUUAGUAACUUGGGAAACAUUUCUCCAGGAAAAGGUGUACAUCAUGUGCUAGGUUUUCUUAUGUUUUUUCAUUUUGUAAAUUUGUUGCAUUCGCUCUGUGACACCGUCAAUGUAAUCAUGGAGAUUUGCAGCACAGGUUUUGUAUUUUUUUCCCCCCCAUCUGGAGAGCAGAAGGCUGGGAAAAUAUAUAUUAAACAUGUAGAAUGUGAAUAGGAUGAAAAAUGUCUUUGAACUUGAAAACAAUCUUCCUUAGCCUUAAAUUAAAGUCAUUGCUUGAAUAAUUAAAACUUAAUGUUUGUUAGCUAGGCCAACAAAGAAAUAAAUACAUAUAUUCAAAAUAUAUGUAUGCACACAGAGUAAGAUAAAAGUAAGUGAUGAAAAGAUAAAGCUAUCCAGUCUGCUGACAUUUUUUAGUGUGUGGUAUUUCAGACUUUUUUAGGAUUGCAUUUAUUGGCCAGGUGUACCAUUUAUAUAUCUGUCAGCAGUGUACAAUGACAGUAUCCAGAGCACAUAACUGAAAUAAAGUGGAAUAAGAUUUAUGUUCUGUUUCAAAAGUGGCCACUAUGGCUUUUAACAGAAUGAACUACUCCUGUGGUAGAAAGCAUUAUCUUGAAGGUAGAAGUCACUUUCCCAUCAGCAUUUGAGGGAGCGCUAAUGAUGCAGGAGAUCACUGUAAAAGAUGAGUAUACAGAUGUAAGUUAUAGGCUUUAGGAAAAUGAGAUUUGAUCAGUCAAGCAUUUCAGGUGAAGAUCAUGAGAGCAGUUAAUGAACUUGAAAAAAGGUGUUAGCUCUCCUGAGAUAGUCUCUUAGUGACUGGGAGGUAAUAGUACGUAUUUGCAGAAGCAAUUUGGGUGAGACGAGCUAAAAGAAAAAUCAAAAGCAAGUAAUUAUCAGAAAUGUCGUACAUAUUGCUUUAUUAUAAAUGCAAAAAUCUAUUACCUACAUAAUAAUAAAAAGGUUGUUUUCUAGACUAAAAGUACUACAUAAAUCACCUUUUUUCAUCCAAGAAAACAAUCGUCUCAUAAGAGGUUAAUUAUUUCUGCUAAUAUAACACUGAUUUCAAAGCAGAAAUUUCAGGAGCAAUACUGAGUUCUCAGCAAUGCAACCUCAUUAUGAAAACUUCUGUAACAGUAAAAAAAAAGUUAAAGAGAUUAAGAUUUAAAACUGCUUAUCAGAAUCCUGCCUCUCAAAUUCUCCUUUUUAAAAACAAAUCAGAACCAUAAUUUACAUUAUGCCAGUUGCUCAACUGAACUAUAUCAUGUGAUACCCAACACUUUAGUCAAUUUAAAGCAUUAUUUGUGUUGAGCAGGACAUAGUAUAACUGUGAGAUCACUAGACAAAAAAAUAAAAUAAAAUUUACUGGACAAGAAAUCCUAGGGAUUUCAGACAAGAAAAACAGAAAGUUUUCAAAAAUAUUACCACAGGUAAUAGUUAGCUGAUUCACCAUUGUUUCAGUUUUGUAUUAGUGUAUAGAGCCUUUCAUAUAAAUUAUCCUUUAUCUACAAAUUUUGUAUUACAUACUCAGAAAGAAUAAAGCUAUUGCAUUUACAUAAAAAGAGUUUAUAAUUGUCUUGUUUCAUAUAAAAUGUCAGCCAGCCACAAAUAUUGUGAUCUGACAGAAUCGGAUGCAGUGUCCAAAACUUAAAUCAAACUUGAUUUACAUAUUAUUACACUGCACAACUUCCAGAGGACUUUUGGAAAUAGGAUUUUUUAUCUGGAAUCAUUUUUGCUUUUUAAUAACACAUUUCAAUGUCACUAGUUAGACAAGAACCAUGCUUUGCAAGUAGGGAAGAUCUUCAUUAAGAAAUCACCCGAGAGUACUUCAACAUAUUUUCACAUUCCCUUGAUAAAUUAAGGUUAUUUCAGAUCUGAAAUAAAUCUGUUCAUUUGUUGGCUGUGUUUAUGGAGUUAAAUUGAAUAAAGUUCUUAAAAAAACA